AACGAACGCUGGCGGCAUGCCUAACACAUGCAAGUCGAACGAGACCUUCGGGUUUAGUGGCGCACGGGUGCGUAACGCGUGGGAACCUGCCCUUAGGUUCGGAAUAACUCCCCGAAAGGGGUCCUAAUACCGGUUAAUGUCUUCGGACCAAAGAUUUAUCGCCUUUGGAUGGGCCCGCGUUGGAUUAGCCAGUUGGUAGGGUAAAAGCCUACCAAGGCGACGAUCCAUAGCUGGUCGGAGAGGAGGAUCAUCCACACUGGGACUGAGGCACGGCCCAGACUCCUACGGGAAGGAGCAGUAGGGAAUAUUGGACAAUGGGCGAAAGCCUGAUCCAGCAAUGCCGCGUGAGUGAUGAAGGCCUUAGGGUUGUAAAGCUCUUUUACCCGGGAUGAUAAUGACAGUACCGGGAAAAUAAGCACCGGCUAACUCCGUG
rnacentral:rRNA from 1 species